rnacentral:rRNA from 1 species
UACGGAAGGCAGCAGUGGGGAAUAUUGCACAAUGGGCGCAAGCCUGAUGCAGCCAUGCCGCGUGUAUGAAGAAGGCCUUCGGGUUGUAAAGUACUUUCAGCGGGGAGGAAGGCGAUGCGGUUAAUAACCGCGUCGAUUGACGUUACCCGCAGAAGAAGCACCGGCUAACUCCGUGCCAGCAGCCGCGGUAAUACGGAGGGUGCAAGCGUUAAUCGGAAUUACUGGGCGUAAAGCGCACGCAGGCGGUCUGUUAAGUCAGAUGUGAAAUCCCCGGGCUUAACCUGGGAACUGCAUUUUGAAGCUGGCAGGCUUGAGUCUUGUAGAGGGGGUAGAAUUCCAGGUGUAGCGGUGAAAUGCGUAGAGAUCUGGAGGAAUACCGGUGGCGAAGGCGGGCCCCUGGGACAAAGACUGACGCUCAGGUGCGAAAGCGUGGGGAGCAAACAGGAUUAGAUAACC